CUCUUCUUGAUAUUUUUAAGAAGUAAUACCUGCCCAAUGAUAAUAUUUAAUGGCCGCGGUAUUUUGACCGUGCAAAGGUAGCAUAAUCAUUAGUCUUUUAAUUGAAGGCUGGAAUGAAUGGUUAGACGAGAUAAAUACUAUCUUAUUGGUAAUGAAUUGAAUUUAAUUAUUAGGUAAAAAAGCUUAAAUAAUUUUAUGGGACGAGAAGACCCUAUAGAGUUUAAUACUUAUUUAUUUAAUUUUGUGGGAAAAUUUUAUUAUAAUUGGUAAGUAUUUUGUUGGGGUGAUGGAAAGAUAAUUGUAACUCUUUUUUGAAUAUAAAUACUUAUGUGUAUGUUCUUGAUCCACUAAUAGUGAUUAUAAGACUAAAUUACC
rnacentral:rRNA from 1 species